rnacentral:rRNA from 1 species
AUGAUUCGCGCGCUGCCGUACGUGGCCGCCACCAUGAGCCUCGUUCGCGGCUCGUACGCCUUGCUCCGGCCAUACCACACUACCACAGCCCAACGUCAUCAGGCGCUCCCGUCUUGGUGGAUGUCGAGCGCGCCAACAGCAGCUUCACCGUGCCUCCCUGCGCCUUCCGGGGCACGAGCAACAGCAGUCCACCGCGCCUCCCUGCGCCGGCCGGGGCACGAGCAGCAGCAGCUCACCGCGCCUCCUUGUGCCGGCCGGGGCACGAGCAUCAGCAGCUCACCACGCCUCCUUGUGCCGGCCGGGGCACGAGCAGCAGCAUGUCACCACGCCUCCCCUGCAGAUGGGGUUGAUUGCUUUUUCUAUUUUUGA